UUCUUUCUCUCUUUUUAUUCUUUCUUUGUCUUUCUCUUCUUUCCUUUUCUCUCUCUGUUUUUUUCUUUUCUCAUGCCUCCCCUAUCUGUCAUGCACGGCAGCACUCACUGUCGAGUGUGAUGUUUUUCUCUCUUUUCUCUGUCUGUUGCGCAUGGCAGUGUACACUGUCGACGUGACAUUUCUCUUUCUCUUCUUUAUGUCUCACACGGCAGUGCACACUGUCGCGUGCGACCUUCUCUCUCUUCUCUCUGUCUUGCACGACAAUGCACAUUAUCGAGCAUGACUUUCUCUCUCUUCUUUCUUUUCUCUUCUCUCUGUCUCGCACGGUUGUACACACUGUCGAGCGUAACCUUUUCUCUCUUCUCUUUGUCUCGUACGGCAGUGUACACUGUCGAGCACAAUCUUCUCUCUCUUCUCUCUGUCUUGCACGACAGUGCACACUGUCAGGCACGACCUUCUUUUUCUUCUCUCUAUCUCGCAUGGCGAUAAACACUGUCGGGCGUGACACUUCCUUCUCUCUCUUUCCUCUCCAUCUUGUAUGGCAGUAAAUACUGCCAAGCGCGACAUUUUUUUUCUCCUUUCUUCUUUCUCUCCUUUGCUUGUUUGACCAAAGGGCAGGCUGAGCCUUGUGUCAGUCUUAUCGCCGAGCAGUUUAGUCGUUGUACCAGUCAAGUUACCGAGCCCGUCUAGCCACCGUGUCAGACCAGCCGCUGUACCUGACCAGCUGUCGUGCCAGUCUUGUCGUCGAGCAGUUUAGACAUCGUGCCGGUCAAGUUAUUGAGUCCAUCUAGCUGUCACAUUAGACCAGCCGCUGUGCCAGACCAGCUGUCGUGCAAGUCCUAAGAAUACAUCUUUAAAGAGUAAAAAGAAACAGGUCAAGAGAGGCGAUUCCGAACAAGCCACAAGCUAGAGGGGACAUUCCAUGUGAUCCAAGAGGGUGCCCAUGCGAGCUAGCCUGAGCGUGUCAUGGACCCACGUGUCUUUCCUCAUGUGGUUCCCCGAGAGAGCAGUCUCGAGUCUCGGGUCCAUCUCGAAUCUGGAACCAUACCACUAGGUCAACCCGACCCGGAGGGCGAGAUCGAUGCAUAUAACCAAACGCGUGGAUACAAGUAUUCUGACGCGGGUCCAUAACACAAGAGAGGAAACAAUACCAAUAAAGGACCUCUCUGUUUCUCUCCACAAGAAAACACUUAUGUAUUUCAUCAAAUUCAAUUCCAUCUCCCUUUGCAUGGUGCGUGCAUCCUUU